AAAACCAAUAUCCCAGUCAUCCACGAUGGUCUAUGGAGAAGGGAUAAAGAAGCUGCUUCACUACACUACUAGACUAGACUAAAGAGAACAGUGACACUUCUUUGCGUCUUCAAUUGACAAUGACGGCCAGGAGCUCCAAGCCCAAGAUUGAUGGCGGAAGAGUGUUGUCGCUCCUGAGGGCCUGCAGGACAGAGAUGAAGAAGAGGACAAUUAUCGUUGGCCUCAGCUCUGAUAACUGCAGCAGAGAAGUCCUGCUGAGGCUGCUCACUUCGGUGGUGAUGACGGGGGACAAUGUGCUUGCGGUUCAUGUGCUGGAACCAGAUGAUGCUUUCGAUCCCAAUAGCUUCCACAUCCACGAAGAUCUCUGCAAAUCCAAGCGGGUGGACUUCCAAGUGAAGGUUUGUGAAGGAGAUUCCUACCUCUCUGAGCUAAGCCAUCAAGUCAGGAUCAACUUUGCAGCAAUUCUGGCCCUCGGCUGCAGCUCUCCUCGGCCUAAGAGUUCAACCGUCACCAACUGCUUAAAAGCAUUACCCCCCACUUGCUCCCUUCUAGUGUUGGACAGUGGGGGAAGAAUAUUGAUGCAGGGGAAGGGAACUUCUCAGGAGGGAUCUGAAAGAAAGGUUCUCCAAUCUUCUCUGUCGUGUGGAUCGAAUUACAAUAACCACGAACUAUCUCGGCCGAGCCGCCAGAUUCAAAAGUCCCUGACAAUGCCAUCUUCCUCAAACGCAUCGCGGCUGCAACAAAUUGAAACUUCGAGUAGACAUAGGCAGAGUCUCAAAAAGUCAUUGCAGCUUCCUGACUUAAUGAAACAGGAGUUGUCCCAGAGAUUGGCUAUCCUGGAAAUAACGGGAUCGGGGAGACACAGACGGUUUACAUUGGAAGAACUUAGCACUGCAACCCAUGAUUUCAGCCCUGAAUUGAUAAUCGGAGAGGGAGGGAACAGUAAGGUGUACUGUGCCAAGCUUGACAAUGGUCAACUGGCAGCCGUGAAGGUUCUAAAGAACACUGAUUCUUCGGCGGAUGACCUUUUCCGGGAAGUGGAAACCUUGAGUAGUUUGGAGCAUGAGAAUGUUGUUCAACUUAUUGGGUAUUCUUACAGCAAAAGGUUGCAGGCAGUUGUCUACAAUCUGCUGAAUGGAAGCUUAAAGCAAAAUCUAAAAGAACUCAGAUGGAGGGAGAGGAUGAGGAUAGCUAUUGGUUUGGCAAGGGCACUAGAUUACCUCCAUUCUCGUUCCCCGGCAGUAAUUCACAGAGAUGUGAAAUCAUCAAACGUUCUACUGUCUGAUAAUUGGGAGCCAAAAUUGUCAGAUUUUGGGGCGGCUGUAACACAUCACAAGACUUGGGAAGUUUCAGGACAGGCUAAGCCAUUUCGCAUAGUUGGGACGUUUGGAUACUUGGCCCCCGAGUACAUGAUGUAUGGUAAAGUUGAUGAAAAAAUAGAUGUGUAUUCUUUCGGGGUUGUGCUGCUGGAGCUGAUCACCGGUAAAGAGGCUAUUCAGACGAACCUGGCUUCCAAUCACGAAAGCUUGGUACUCUGGGCAAGAUCCUUACUCAGCUCUGGCCUAUGCGAACGCCUGAUUGAUCCUUACCUUAAAGACGACUAUGACAAGGAUGAGAUGAAGACGAUGAUGAUUGCUGCCCGACUCUGCCUCUUGCAUUCUUCAUCUAGAAGGCCAACUAUGAAAAAAAUCCUGCAGUUGUUUGAGGAGCCAGAGCAGUGGCUAUGGAUGCAGAGAAAGAGAGAGGAGCUCCUAAAUCGGAUUACUUCCAAAGGCGAAGCAGGACAUCAACAUUUUGCAAUUUGUUAAGAAGGAGAUGAAUGCUCCCCGAUAUUGAGAAAAUGGAAGAUUGGACAUAAGAAGGCAAGAAAAGCAUGGAGAUAAAUGCAAGAGCCAUGAACACAUUGUUUUGUGCUCUUUAUUGCGAGGAGUUCAACUACGUAUCAAGAUGCAAAAUUGCCAAAGAAAUAUGGGAUAAAUUAGAGAUAACACAUGAAGGUACCAAGCAGGUUUAGGGCUAUGGGAGCAUGAUAUGGGGCAUGAAACGUCUUGAUGGCAAUGAGAUAUCUUGGAAAUUGGAGAAAGAGAAGUAAGGGCAAUUUUAGCAGAUUUAACCUCCUGCACUUCCUUCAGUAUUUUGGCCAAGAUAAAGUUCCAGAAUGAAGAUGAUGUCUUCAGAGAUAUUGUAGAGGACUUCUAGGGCUUUCUGGAAAGGUAUGGUUUGUCCAAAUCCGAGUUUGUUUGGGCCUUCAAACAGCACUUCAAAGUCGGGACUAGGAAGUUGGGUCAAAUUAGGAAAGCUGCACAGAUGCUGAUUCCUUAAAAGGGCCAUAUCUUGGGCGUCCGAUAUCGAAAUCAAGUGAUUCAAAAUCCCAAAUUAAUCUAAUCUUCCUGAUCUACAAUUCUUAUGAAGAGGCCGAAGCCCAUAACGCGCUCUAACAUAUCCGAAAUCGGCUGUGAAGUGGCAGUAACCUAGGGUUUCCUCCUUAAGCCCUACUUAAGCACCUUAAGUGGCCGAUUUGGGCAGUAUUCUUUGGAAGGACGUGAACAGUAGCCAACUUUCCUGCUCUCCACUGUUCUUAUCAAGAUGGAAGGCUAAGGUUCUGUAAUCAGUUGCAAUACCAUCCUUGUUCCCGGUUUGAGUCUUUGGCUUUAAUGGAAAUCUGUUUUUUUUGUUUUAACUUUGUUGUUCUCUUGUUUCUGUUCUCUCUUAAAUCUGUGUAUGUGUUGAUGCCGGUUGGAUGAAUGCAUGCAUUGUCUUUGUUUGAGAAUCCAAGGUUUUUGUGCUCGUUUGAGGCUUUAACUAGAAGCAAGAACAAUUAGUCUCGAAUCUGUGCAAUAAGGGGAAUAAAAACUGAUAAAUCGAACUAAGAGGUUUCUGAAAUCUGUUUAUUGGUUUUCUUUCCAAUCUUUGGCGGUUGUUAAAGGAUUAUUCUGGUUUUUGAUUUGAGAAUUGAAACUAAACAAAUGGUUUAUUGAGAAGGCGACGAAAACUGGGAUAGAAGGUUGGUUUGCAAUUGAUUGCAUCUUGAUUUCUUGUGUUCUUGCUUAUUUAGUUUUCUGUUUUUCAUCAAAAACUUCCCCCCCGUUUAACCUUGUUUUGACAGAUCCGUUGAAGGUUCGUUGGGAGACGACUUAGGGUUGCACUCUUGCUGCAAAUCCAAAUCAUCAUUUAUCUAAUCUAUUGGUGUUCGACAGCCCCGAUCACAUAUACUAUUCAUAAUCUCGUUCUUUAGUUGCAUAUGGGAAAUUGGAAUCCAUAUUGUCUAUUUUGCGCAUAUUGACACUUGUGGUUAAAUUGCAUCUCUAUUAAUGUGCAUAUGGAAAGAUACGAUUCAUGUUAUGUGGACUGUGGAUGGUAGUACUUAUACGUCAUAUAUUGUAUGUGGCAUUUGAUAAUAUUAAAUGAUGGUAUGAAAUGUGUGUUAAAUGGAGUAACAACUAGAACCCUAUAUACUGACUACAAUAAAUGUUAGCCGUUGGUGUACCACGUAUAUAUUAGGGUGAGAGUGGGUCUGCCCUUACUUGGCGAGAAUGGUUCCGCCAUGAUGCUUAUA